GAUGAAGAACGCAGCGAAAUGCGAUAAGUAAUGUGAAUUGCAGAAUUCAGUGAAUCAUCGAAUCUUUGAACGCACAUUGCGCCCGCCAGUAUUCUGGCGGGCAUGCCUGUUCGAGCGUCAUUUCAACCAUCAAGCCCCCGGCUUGUGUUGGGGACCCUGCGGCUGCCCGCAGGCCCUGAAAACCAGUGGCGGGCUCGCUGUCACUCCGAGCGUAGUAGCAUAUAUCUCGCUCAGGGCGUGCUGCGGGUUCCGGCCGUUAAAAGCCUUUUUUUUUUACCCAAGGUUGACCUCGGAUCAGGUAGGAAGACCCGCUGAACUUAAGCAUAUCAAUAAGCGGAGGA
rnacentral:misc_RNA from 1 species